rnacentral:rRNA from 1 species
UACCUACGGGUGGCUGCAGUGGGGAAUUUUGGACAAUGGGGGAAACCCUGAUCCAGCCAUCCCGCGUGUGCGAUGAAGGCCUUCGGGUUGUAAAGCACUUUUGGCAGGAAAGAAACGUCGUGGGUUAAUACCCCGCGAAACUGACGGUACCUGCAGAAUAAGCACCGGCUAACUACGUGCCAGCAGCCGCGGUAAUACGUAGGGUGCAAGCGUUAAUCGGAAUUACUGGGCGUAAAGCGUGCGCAGGCGGUUCGGAAAGAAAGAUGUGAAAUCCCGGAGCUUAACUUUGGAACUGCAUUUUUAACUACCGGGCUAGAGUGUGUCAGAGGGAGGUGGAAUUCCGCGUGUAGCAGUGAAAUGCGUAGAUAUGCGGAGGAACACCGAUGGCGAAGGCAGCCUCCUGGGAUAACACUGACGCUCAUGCACGAAAGCGUGGGGAGCAAACAGGAUUAGAUACCCUGGUAGUCUCC